GAGGGUGUAGCUCAGUGGUAGAGCACGUGCUUAGCAUACAGAAGGUCCUGGGUUCAAUCCUCAGUACCUCCA
rnacentral:tRNA from 1 species